GUGAUCCAGAGUGUUGCGGUCG
rnacentral:siRNA from 1 species